rnacentral:tRNA from 3 species
GCCCAGGUGGUGGAAUGGUAUACACGAUAGAUUCAAAACCUAUUGGCGAAAGCCGUGGAGGUUCGAGUCCUCUCCUGGGCA